rnacentral:rRNA from 1 species
UACGAAGGGGGCUAGCGUUGCUCGGAAUCACUGGGCGUAAAGGUGCGUAGGCGGGUCUUUAAGUCAGGGGGUGAAAUCCUGGAGCUCAACUCCAGAACUGCCUUUGAUACUGAGGAUCUUGAGUUCGGGAGAGGUGAGUGGAACUGCGAGUGUAGAGGUGAAAUUCGUAGAUAUUCGCAAGAACACCAGUGGCGAAGGCGGCUCACUGGCCCGAUACUGACGCUGAUGCACGAAAGCGUGGGGGAGCAAACAGG